rnacentral:lncRNA from 1 species
CGUAGCCCAUGAUAUCCCUAUCAAUUAAAGUUAAGAGACAUAACAACAUCGGUUUUCGUAAAAGGGAUUUGUAGGAAGACCAAGAUUUGGUCUAAAAGACAUAUGUAUGAGUAUGGAUUUACCAACCAUUAAUAUCCACAGCCUAAUACAUAUAUUAUGCUUGUACCUAUAACAUGUAUUUUUUUUUUUUUUUGAAUCUAAUUAAUGUUAAACUAUAUUCAAAGAAAAAAUAUCGUUUUUACAACUAGUGCAUUGUGUAAUCGAAAUUUAACCGAAAAAUUUGUAAAAAGAAUUUAACGCCUAGAAGAAAACCAAACUUGUAAAAUUUUUUCUUAUCAUCUAUCUCCUA